UGCGUGAGUGGCGAAAUUGGUAGACGCACCAGGUUUAGGUCCUGACGCCCGCAAGGGCGUGCCGGUUCGAGUCCGGCCUCACGCACCAA
rnacentral:tRNA from 13 species